UUCACAACCAUGUACUCCCUUUUUCUCUCUCUUUAUAUUUUUCAUCGAAGAACUUCUCUUUCUAGGUUUAGUUCUUUCUCUCUUUUUCCAUUUUUCACUUUCCGUCGAGAGAAGAGAGAAACUUUUCUCUUCUCCUUCAACAAAUCUGCUUAGAUUUUAGGAUUUGCAUGAAAUUAAUACCCCCGUUUCAACAAAUCUCCAAUCUAAUCAAAACCCAUAGAAAUCUGAAAUCAAAUCUAUACUUUUUUCUAAACCUAAUUUUUUCCCUGAAAUCAAAAAUCAAAUCAUUCAACCUCUGAUUUUGGUGGAUUAUCAUCAGAUUUUGAAGAUGGUGCACAGGCAGAUUAUGCGUGAGAAGACUUGGCGUACUGGUCCAGGAAUGUGAGAAGACUUGGCGUUCUGGUCCAGGAAUCUCUAAGGCUUGUCGAGACGUGAAACUAUGGUUGACAAGCAUGUUCCCUGUAUACCCUGAUUCUAUCAUUGAGGAACUCAACGCUAAACUACUUGCAACAGCUAGUUCAGAGAUUCUAAUCUCAAUGACAAAAAAGAGUUUGAAGUGCCAAGAAUAAAAGCUGGAACAACUGUAUUUGUUGGUUAUGGCUCCAGGAACAUAUUGAGACAGCGGUCCAGGGAUAACUUCGUUACCAGCUGUAACCCAACCAAACUUAGCGUCAUCUUUGUAUGGGACAAUGUUUCAGAUCGAGUCUGGAACCAACCCUGCCAUCCAUUUCAAAACACAUCCGAACAUCAACAAAGAGUUAUUUUACUAGGCCUGAAAGAUCCAAAUAUACCUUUUCCAAUCUGUCCACCUGGUGAUGCGGGUAUUAGUCUCUUGAGGUGGAGAAUGCUGAGUACUGACGAGCCUGUAGUGCCCCUGACCAUCAACUGCUGGCCGUCUGUCUGUGGAGGUGCCCGUUUUGUUAGCAUGGAAUAUGAGGCAUCAACUAUGUUUAAUUUGCACAAUGUUGUGAGCAAAUGUGAGCCAGGUUGAUGGUGACUGGAAGUAAUUGGUUCUUUUUGUGUUGGAAGUACUGUGCCAGCAACAAUAAAAGUGAAUAAAUGGAUCAGAAAGUUUCCAUCAGAGUUAUUCGUGGACUGAAAUGUCCUAGUACCAACUGGAAGUGAUUCAAAUUCGUUCACUCUUGAUGCAUUAGCCCUUUUCAUCUUGUGUGCUUCAAUGAGAAAAUCACCCUGAAUUCAUCUUUCACGUUGUCUUUUGCCCACUUCUACAAUGCGGAGAGUCGAUUUUUAAUGCAUAAUUUCUAUCUACUCUAUACUUGAAGGGAGAUCAUGACAAGACGUGUUGUGUUGGUUACAUCCUGCUUGAUGUCUUACCAUCUUUAUGAUGGAUAGGUAACCUAUAUUGUUAAAUUUGUCGUUUGUUUCUCCCCAUUUUCAGAACUGUGGUCAGUUUUAUGGUGAGUUGCUUGAGCGUUUUGGAACUCUUUUCAAAAUACCAUUACUCAAGUCUUACAUGUACGUCAUGUCCAUAUGUGGUCUAAUGCACUCCACUUUUCUUAUCAGAGUAUUGACUUGUUACUCUUUUAUGUCCCCUUUCUUAUGGUUCUAAUCUUAGCAUGUAUACAAAUUGCUUGUAGAGCUAUGCCCAGUACAUUCCCCUACCUUUCUGAAGACACCCUCUAUAUAUGUAUUCGACUGCUCAGCUGCAGGAAUGAUAUUCAAUGACUUUAUAGAGGUUCAGAAAAUGUCUUUGUGGUCCUCUAUUUUGGAGAAAGAGCUAAGGCCAAACUCAUUAAGAUAUGUGAUGCAUUUGAGCAAACCAUUACCCAUUCAUUGAGCAAAUCGUAAUGCAAGCCCAGAUGAUGACAGAGGUAUGCGAAGUCCUGCAUUGAAUUAGUCAUGCAGAUCCCAAUGGAGGGUAUGCUAAAAUUUUGCUAUGAUCUAUUUAAACAGUAGCUUUUAGCAUUAAAUCACUUGUAAAAGUGAAUGAUUUUUAUAGCUGAUUAACUGCGUCAAACUACACUCAGCUUGCUCAAUUCUGAUAAGUUCAUCUAUUACAUGCUGAAAUACAUG